rnacentral:rRNA from 1 species
AUGCACGCUGGCGGCGUGCCUAAUCCAUGCCGGUCGAGCGAACAGACGAGGAGCUUGCUCCUUCGACGUUAGCGGCGGACGGGUGAGUAACACGUAGGUAACCUACCUAUAAGACUGGGAUAACUUCGGGAAACCGGAGCUAAUACCGGAUAAUAUUUCGAACCGCAUGGUUCGAUAGUGAAAGAUGGCUUUGCUAUCACUUAUAGAUGGACCUGCGCCGUAUUAGCUAGUUGGUAAGGUAACGGCUUACCAAGGCAACGAUACGUAGCCGACCUGAGAGGGUGAUCGGCCACACUGGAACUGAGACACGGUCCAGACUCCUACGGGAGGCAGCAGUAGGGAAUCUUCCGCAAUGGGCGAAAGCCUGACGGAGCAACGCCGCGUGAGUGAUGAAGGUCUUCGGAUCGUAAAACUCUGUUAUUAGGGAAGAACAAACGUGUAAGUAACUGUGCACGUCUUGACGGUACCUAAUCAGAAAGCCACGGCUAACUACGUG